rnacentral:lncRNA from 1 species
GGAAAGUCAUGUUUAAUGAUAGCACGCAGGCACAUUGUCAGCUGGGCUCUCACUAAGUCAGGAGAGCGAAUUAUUCCUUCUACAAUGUUAUCACGAAUCUGCUGACGAUCAUUUUCAUGAAUGUUGAAUGGAAAUACUGCUUCCCCAGGAGGUGGUUCACGGUCUGGCCAGUACUGUGUCACCAUGUUCUUCAGGUAGAUGGCAGCUGCUUGGCGCACUGGAAACUCAACCUGAUCUGAUACUAUGAUUUGCAGUAGACUUGGAGCAAAAUUGAUGAUCUUAUAGGACUGAUUGAGCUCGUUCUCGGCUGCGAUGCGCAGUUUGGGGUCGAUGGUGCCCUUCAGCGCCUGGAUGAUCCUGUUGGGGUCCAUCUCGGCCCGCUUGUAGCCCCCCGGCCGGCAGGCCGCGCUCCGCCGGGGGCAGGAGGAGGGAGCGGAGCCGCCGCCGCCGCCCCCCCGCGCCGCGACCGCGAGCUCGUGUCCCCCACCCCCCGGUCCCUCUCCAGAGCCAUUCACCGGUUUGCGACAGCUGGGUAUCGGGAAGCGGGCGCUGCUUUACGGCCGCGGCGCCUCCUUCUGGCUCGGCGCGGAGGCGAGCAGAGGGGGCCGCCAUGCUGUACGGACGGCACACGGCCGUGUGCGGCGGAUGGCGCCCGUGGGGGCGGCCAUGUUGCGGUACGGCCAGCAGCGCGGCCGGCCCGCCGCCGCGUCCCCUCAGCUCGGGCUGCUCCCUGAGGAGCUUCGCGUGGUCCUCAUUCCAGUAUUUCGCUGAGCUACCAAAAGGAGCCGUGGAAAUUCACUCAGUCCGGACUAAAAUCUAACGUCAGUGCCUCAUCUGUCUUGAAUUGUAUAGUUUAGGAAACUGCAGAGGGUAAGCAGAUGGAAUUUAGGUGGUAUCAGAUUUGCCUAGGAAUGACAGGAAUAGGAAGUUAGCGGAAGAACCACCACCUCCAUUCGUAUGAGGUGUCAUAUGUAUAAUGAGACCUUAUUAUCCUCAUGUACUUAAGGCACGUUACUUUGUGCAGCUAUGCAAGCAACUCUCUGAGUGACUACAGAAAAUGUGGUCUCACACAGCUUUUACAUGAAGCCCAUACCACACCCAGUGAAAGUAUAUGGCUCCUAUUUAUUCUCUUGGCCCACGGCCUCAGAGCCAGACAUUGGUGGUAUGGCAGAAGAGGCUGAACGUUCCCACCCCUAUUCUAUUACAUGUUGUUGCAGUGUGACAGCUGGCAGGCUGACAACAUGGUGCCUGACAUGGAAGAGCAUAUGAAGCAAAGGGAUGUUCACUGAAUUCCUUCAUUGGGGGAAAAAAACAGCAGCACCCACCGAAUGUUUGUGGAGACCCGGCAGUGGAUGUGAGCUCAGUGAGCAGUGUGUUUCACCAAUGGCAACAGCAACAUGGAAGACGAGCUACAUUCCAGAUGGCCUUGCACAGCUGUCACACCACAAAAUGAGAGCUGAUUUAGACACUCAGCUCAGCUAAUGGUGGUGAUUAUGCUGAAAUACUUUGUUUUGCAGUUGAGAAUUUGCUCUAUCAAAGAGCAUUAUUGUGCUCUUUGUAUUGGUUGUCACUUCUGUGGUGAAUAUCUUCAGCAGAGACACACUCAGGUAAAAUAAAGUCAUGUCAGUUUGUAAAUAAUGUACUGAAGUCUUCUGAAGUACUGAGAAGUUUUAAAACCAAGC